UACGUAGGGUGCAAGCGUUAAUCGGAAUUACUGGGCGUAAAGCGUGCGCAGGCGGUGAUGUAAGACAGAUGUGAAAUCCCCGGGCUCAACCUGGGAACUGCAUCUGUGACUGCAUCGCUGGAGUGCGGCAGAGGGGGAUGGAAUUCCGCGUGUAGCAGUGAAAUGCGUAGAUAUGCGGAGGAACACCGGAUGGCGAAGGCAAUCCCCUGGGCCUGCACUGACGCUCAUGCACGAAAGCGUGGGGAGCAAACAGG
rnacentral:rRNA from 1 species